AGCCCAUAUUUGAUAGACUGGAAUCUAUCAACUGCAGCAAAGGCAUAACUCCUUUCUAAUCUCAUUCAGAGAUCACUGACUGAUUCCUUUCUACGGCAAAUAACUACCUAAACAUCAAAGCUAUACUGUGGACAAACUGGAGGACUGGAAAUAACGCAAGUGAAAAGUCUGGAAAUGGAAGAUGGGAUGAAAUAAAAUGAGAGUGAUUGAGUUGGCUGGGAAAGCUGAUUCUUGAAGACUUACGACUGGAGUGAAGAAGAGCCCCCGUGUGCAUGCAUUUUCUUGUUCUGCACAUUUUGGCAUUUUGGCAAGGAGAGAAAUAAUGGUUUAUAUGAGAACAACAAAGGAUCACUUCUACUUAUUAAACAAAUUCUCCUUGUCUCCUUUCAUUCCUCUCCAUUUUUUUUUGUGUGCCUGUGAGUUCAAUUUUUAU